rnacentral:rRNA from 1 species
CCUACGGGAGGCAGCAGUGAGGAAUAUUGGUCAAUGGACGGAAGUCUGAACCAGCCAUGCCGCGUGCAGGAAGACGGCUCUAUGAGUUGUAAACUGCUUUUGUACAAGGGUAAACCUGAACACGUGUAUUUAGCUGAAAGUACUGUACGAAUAAGGAUCGGCUAACUCCGUGCCAGCAGCCGCGGUAAUACGGAGGAUCCAAGCGUUAUCCGGAUUUAUUGGGUUUAAAGGGUGCGUAGGCGGAUUGAUAAGUUAGAGGUUAAAUGCCCGGGCUUAACUCGGGAACUGCCUCUAAUACUGGUGGUCUAGAGAGUAGAUGCGGUAGGCGGAAUGUAUGGUGUAGCGGUGAAAUGCUUAGAGAUCGUACAGAACACCGAUUGCGAAGGCAGCUUACCAGUCUAUAUCUGACGUUGAGGCACGAAAGCGUGGGGAGCGAACAGGAUUAGAUACCCCUGUAGUC